rnacentral:rRNA from 1 species
UACGUAGGGUGCGAGCGUUAAUCGGAAUUACUGGGCGUAAAGCGUGCGCAGGCGGUCUGUUAAGACCGAUGUGAAAUCCCCGGGCUUAACCUGGGAACUGCAUUGGUGACUGGCAGGCUUUGAGUGUGGCAGAGGGAGGUAGAAUUCCACGUGUAGCAGUGAAAUGCGUAGAGAUGUGGAGGAAUACCGAUGGCGAAGGCAGCCCCCUGGGCUAACACUGACGCUCAGGCACGAAAGCGUGGGGAGCAAACAGG